UUGUAUUACACCUUGUUUUUCUUGAUAUAAGAAUUCUGCCUUGUGGGUGGUGCUAUGCAUUGUGGGUUGUUGCAAGGCAUUCUGGGAAGAAGAAGGGGCAGUCCUUAGUCUCCUGGACACAAGACCAGAGACGCUCUACAUCUCUCCCUUCUAAAACUCCACAUCUGUGUAACAGCAUAUCUGUACCUGAAGGCAGACUAUGCAAGUGGAUCCGCAUGGAGUAGGAGAGGCAGAGACAUCACAUGAACCAGUAAGCAGCAGUGAUCAGCUAUCGGAACAGCAGCAAGGGACCAGUGUAAGUGAGUAUUACUACUUUUUAUGCCUAGUGUGCCCCCA